GCACAAGAUCAAUUUGACUCUUCGCUUUGUCCAGAAUCUAUAGAACAAUGCAUGGACCGAGAUGUUAGCUUUAGAGAUUUCUUAAGGCCUUUGUUUUCGGGUCUGUCGAGUUCAUAUACUAUAGAGCCAUUCAUACCCCCAGUUUUCUCAUCAAUUUCAAAAGUUCCUGCAUCAUGGAAUACAAGGCGAAGUACACCAGCAGCCUUGCUCUUGGAUAAUACCUUCCUGAUCUCUUCCCUUACCUGAAAGCUCUCAUCAGCAGCAAUGGCACCAACACUAUUGUCAAUUCUUU
rnacentral:misc_RNA from 1 species